rnacentral:rRNA from 1 species
GAUUAACGCUGGCGGCGUGCAUAACACAUGCAAGUCGAACGAUGAAACUUAAAUGAUUUCUUCGGAAUGAACUUAAGUGGAUUAGUGGCGGACGGGUGAGUAACGCGUGAGUAACCUGCCUUACACAAGGGGAUAGCCGUUGGAAACGACGAAUAAUACCCUAUGAUGUUUCUAUCUCGCAUGAGAUAUUAACCAAAGUGUUAGCGGUGUAAGAUGGACUUGCGUCUGAUUAGCUAGUUGGUGAGAAAAAAGCCCACCAAGGCAACGAUCAGUAGCCGGCUUGAGAGAGUGUACGGCCACAUUGGGACUGAGACACGGCCCAGACUCCUACGGGAGGCAGCAGUGGGGAAUUUUGCACAAUGGGGGAAACCCUGAUGCAGCGACGCCGCGUGAUUUAGAAGGCCUUCGGGUUGUAAAAAUCUUUUGUAUAGGAAGAAAAUGACAGUACUAUACGAAUAAGGUCCGGCUAAGUACGUG